rnacentral:rRNA from 1 species
AAUCAACGCUGGCGGCGUGCCUAACACAUGCAAGUCGAACGCGAAAGCCCCGCAAGGGGUAAGUAGAGUGGCAAACGGGUGAGUAACACGUGGGUGACCUGCCUUCGAGUGGGGGAUAACGUCCCGAAAGGGACGCUAAUACCGCAUGACAUCCUGCUUUUGAAAAAGCGGAGAUCAAAGCUGGGGAUCGCAAGACCUAGCGCUUGAAGAGGGGCCCGCGCCUGAUUAGCUAGUUGGUGAGGUAACGGCUCACCAAGGCGACGAUCAGUAUCCGGCCUGAGAGGGCGGACGGACACACUGGGACUGAGACACGGCCCAGACGCCUACGGGAGGCAGCAGUGGGGAAUUGUUCGCAAUGGGCGCAAGCCUGACGACGCAACGCCGCGUGGAGGACGAAGAUCUUCGGGUCGUAAACUCCUGUCGAGCGGGACGAACGCUUCGCGGAUGAAUAAGCCGCGGAAUUGACGGUACCGCUAAAGGAAGCCCCGGCUAACUCCGUG